UUGAAGUUUCUUCCACCUCCGUGAGUUCUGCAUUUUGGGUCCUCUCUUCCUGCCUGCCUACAAACAGACAUGACACAGACACCCUGUAUUUUUCCUACCUACUACACAUCAGCCCUUGCGAGCACAAUGCUUCGUUCAGCAGGACGGACAGCAAAGCUAACAGUGUUCUUUUUUUGUUUAACAUGGACUUCAUAUAUGGGUCAAUAAGCUGUCCAGAAAUACCUACAGCAGCGGGAGCAAUAAGACCGAGCCUUACGUUAGACCUGAGACAGAGUACGCAGCGUGUCAAGAACCAGGGCCAUCCGGAAUAACACAGACCAAUGUCAAUCACACAACCCCUUCCCACGAUGCGGACCAUGAAGACCCCUUGAUGCUUUUGGAAUAUAUACGCGAUAUUGAACUCCCAGAACAACAAGAAAAACCACAAGCUUUGUGCAACAACGGAGACUCAGAACCAUUCUUCAUCACCAGACCAUACAUACACACGAGUGCCAGCCUUGUGAUUUCAGCGAUAUUUCUGAGUACAACCUAUCAGAUUUCAAUAUAGUUGACAUACCCACCACGCCAGAAUGUCUAAGAAACAACAGUGAUACAGACAUAGGUUUUGAAGAAGGCUGCAUAACAGACUCGCAAAUAUCACAGGCAUAUGACGCAUACUUAAAUGCAGCAAACACCUCUAACUUUGAUCAGAGCCAUUCUGCUUCAGACAACGAUAUACUAUGUUUGAUCGAUGCUAAACUCAGCCAACAUCAACAAGCAGUACAGAGGGAUGUGCAAGAAAUAGCAGUGGCUCUAACUAGUACCCAGCAGGCAAUAAACAAUACCUGGGGUUUAUUAGAUCUCAUUAGUACCAGAUUUUUAAAUCGCUGACUUUUAAAAUCUACACCAUGGACCCACCCCGUAAAUUAUUCAAACACAAUGAUGGUACCUCCACUCGAGCUAAAUGGUUUGACUUUGAGGCUUUUAACCAGUGGGCUGCGCAAAUAAUAAACAAAUGCGAAGUUUUGCAUGCAAGACUUAGCAGUGUCGCUGUAGCAGACAGUCCUGUGUCUAAUGCACGUCCUUGUCCAACUCAUUCUGAAGCUGUUGCUGAUUUUAUUUUUUUUUUUGUUUUUAAGCAUAGGG